rnacentral:rRNA from 1 species
UUCAGACGAUGCGUCAUGCAUAUCAAUAAGCGGAGGAAAAGAAACUAACAAGGAUUCCCUCUAGUAACGGCGAGUGAAGCGGGAAGAGCUCAAAUUUGAAAUCUUAAAGGGUUUCCCUUUACGAAUUGUAGUUUAAAGAAGUGUUUUCUGUUGAGGUUUUGGUAAAAGUUCUUUGGAAUAGGACAUCAUAGAGGGUGAGAAUCCCGUAUUUGACCUUUACUUUCAACUUUGUGAUACACUUUCAAAGAGUCGGAUUGUUUGGGAAUGCAGUCCAAAAUGGGUGGUAAAUUUCAUCUAAAGCUAAAUAUUGGCGAGAGACCGAUAGCGAACAAGUACCGUGAGGGAAAGAUGAAAAGAACUUUGAAAAGAGAGUUAAACAGUACGUGAAAUUGUCAAAAGGGAAGCGUUUGACACCAGUGUUGUUUUUCUGAAAAUCAAUUAAAGAACUGUUUAUGCUAAGUUGUUUAGACUUUAUCAGCUAUCUGUUUAGUUUUGAGCUUUUCUUUAAUGCACUUUUCAGUUAACAAGUCAACAUCAAUUUCUUUUGCUGUAAAAAAGCUUGAGGAAGGUGGCUUGAGAUUCGUCUUAAGUGUUUAUAGCCUCUUGCCUAUGCAGUCGGAGAGAUUGAGGUCUGCAGCGUAGAUCCUUCGGGGCUAAAUGCAUUUGUGCUAAGUUAUAGCAUUUUAUAGACAACUUGUUGACUAUGAUUUGUCUUGUAGCUUACUCGCUUAUGUUAUUUUACCUACGCUUAGGAUGUUGACACACGCGCGUGCUCG